CCGGCCGGACGGCAGGCGGAGGCUGCUGUGGCGGUGCGGCUGCCCCCGCCUUCUGUCCUCCCCGCUCCCCCUCGGCGGUGCGGCCGUGAGGUGCCGCGGGCUGGGCCGUGGGGUCGCCGUGGCUGUUGGUUGAGGGGACGGCUGGUGGAGCGCAGCGUGGCCGCCGGCGGAGGGCUCCCCUCAGGCAGCGGCGGAUUGUGGCCGUGGUGCCGAUCGCGGCUCCCAGGGGUGCGGCGGGGGAGGGUAAAACGUCUUCAGCAUAUCCCACCCUGCGCCUUCGUCUUAGAAACUUUCAAUGAGCGUGCCAGUGUCAGCGGGAGCUAUCCGACUUGCUCGCAGCACCUGCUGUCAUUCCAAUGCACACAGGUGAUCUGGGGGGCAGCUUGCCACCCAUGAGGGCCUCAAGCUAAAGCAGCCUGCUCCCAAUAGCUGGACCCCGUGACACUGACCCACACCUGGAGCAGCUCUUGAAGAGCCGCCAUCCAUGGAAAAGCCCACACAGGAGCAGCCCAUGAAGGACAGCACCCCUCAGGAAGGACCCCAGGCAGGAGCAGGGGAGAGAGUGGCGGUGAAGGAGCAGACGAAACAAAGGGUAGAAGCAGCUGCCACUAGGACCCCUGUGGGGUUUGUUGCUGCGCGAAGGUGACACACCGGGUAAAAUGAGAAAAGCUGCAGCUGAUGUGCUGCAAUUACAGAUAGGAGAAAAGCUGUUUCCAGCGAGACGGAGAAGGAAUUAAUUAUACCUCUGCCUCAUCCCAUGAGACCGGAAGACACUGAGUAACUUAACUGUAAACUGCAAUUCUCAGAAGACAUACUAAGAGUCUCAGGUUCCUUCUCUGCCUGCCCCCCAAAGCCUUAGGGAUGAGAAAUCUUAGGCUUUAUGUUUCUCCCUAUGAGAUACUGUCGCAUUAAGGGGCGUAGCUGACUGUUACGGGUCUGGUCGGAUUCAGGGUACUGAACUAUUACGGUCAUGGGUUUACCAAUAAUGUAGCACGCCCUCGCUCUAGUCACGUUCAAUGAGAACUGUCACGGCUAGGAACAAUGCAAUGAAGGGCAAUUUAUUACGGCAACAAGGACACAGGUUCUUUGGAUUGGCAGAGAUAAAUUCACUGUCGGCAAAAGCAAACGAGCACGCAUGAAAUACACAAGUACUCAUCGUGGCUGUUAACACGUUAAAAGGCACAAAGACUCUAGAGAUUUCUAAGUUUCCAAGGAGACACCUGGUAUAACCAAGUGUUCAAAUUUUACCCCACAGCGUCCCAAUGGGGGGAGGGGGAUAAGAGCUCAGCCUGUUGACUGAUCCCAGAAGUCAGAAGUCAGUUUUGUGAUGGUAUCUUGCCUAACAUUCCCUUUCUCUUAAGCCAGUUUACAUUAUUUUAUGUCUUUUAGGUGGAGCUUGAGUGACUCUAGUCAGGCAUAUCUUAGCUUUGACUGGUGAAAAGUUUUCUUGCUUUCAUUUAAAGGUGUAGACUCCGAGAAGUUCAGAGUGCAUGCUCAGCGAGGGGUGGUCGCACCUUGGAGGUGGGGAGCUUUUGGGAUGGAGGUGUGUUUUGGUAUUCUAAAGAUACUAGAAUGAGCAAAAGUUCCCUAGAGUACAGCAUUUUGUCAGGUCGUUGGCUCCGGGUAGCAAAGAUGCAGCUUACUGCUCUUGGUGUGCACAAGAGCAGUCGGGUCCUCAUCUGGUCACAGAGCCUAUCCGCGGUGUCUCCACUCCACUCUGCACUCCGUCCUGUUCCUUAGAGUCAGCACACCAAGUUCCCCUUGUGCGGUAGCAUCUAAGGUUGGAGGCCUAGGGAACACUUAGGUAGCGCAGCUGCCCUCCACUCUUCCAGCUUCUUCAAUGCUGUAUGUUUUCUUUAAAAGGUGAAUAUUAGUUUAAUUUGCCUAGUUACUUCAGGCAAUUACUCCACAACUACCAAAAGCAAUAGUGAGGAGCCCACUUCCAGCAUCCAAUCCCCACGGGAUGGACGGACAGACGGAUGCUGCUCAAUGCCUUGCCUGCCAGGGGAAGGG